AAGAAGCAGGGAAGGACUGAUGCAAGGAAAAAUUGACCGCAUCUUUUCUUUUUUAUAUAUUUUCAUUUGGUGGUGGUGUUUGAUGUGGUUGACCCGACUUGUUACCGUUUAAGACCACCUAAUUUUUGUACGAGGCCUAGAUAGUAAUGCAUGUCAUAGAUAGGCUGGAUCAUACUGUUUUUGCAUUUGAGCUAGCCUUAAAAUCGAUCGCUCAAGUCUUGUUGCCCCUCUACUGUCUACAUUGUGUUUGGCUGGGAAAACCCUGUACACGUAUUCUUGAAUGCAGCUUCAUUUCCAUUUAUGAAAGUCCUGGAAAGUUUCCUGAUAGUUUUGAACAAUGGCUUCCACUUUUUAGGUACAGGAACACACUUUCUUUCCUUUUUUUUUUUUUCAAUCAUAUCGAACUACUCCUUCUUUGAGCAAAUAUGGAAUGAGCAAGCAGAAUCUAUUAAUAACUCGUCAUGUAAUGGAUCCUUUAUUUUUUUCUCAACAACAACCACAUUCAUAAUAUCACUGUCACUAUCUUCAUCACAUGCAAUUGCAGCAGUCCCUUCUUUUCCAUGAAUCUUCUUGAAUUGUUUAUACUCUGCAAAAUCUUCCUUCAUCUUUAUACAAUUAUAUUGAAUGUGGCCCUUCUUAUGAUAGUAGUAGCAUCUCUCUCCUUAAGGUCUACUUGUGGUUUCAAGCUUGAUCCACUAUUCUUUCUCAAACUAUUUUCACGUGGAUUGCUUCUACCACGACUAGAACUAGCAACAAAAUCUUCACAUUUAUUGUUACUCCCUAUCUUCUUAAACUCCUCAUCAUCCAAAAUAACUAUGAUAACUUCCUCCACCUUUAAAAUUUCCUUCUCAAUUAUAAGGGCUAUCACUAACUUUUUAUAAGAUUGUGGGAGAGAAGUUAAAAGUAAGAGGGCUUUAACUUCUUCAUCAACUUUUACACCAACAUUAGCCAAUUGGGUAAUUAAUUUAU
rnacentral:misc_RNA from 1 species